GCCGAGGUGGCGAAACUGGCAACCGCGUAGCACUCAAAAUGCUAUGGGCGAAAGCUCUUGUGGGUUCGAGUCCCACCCUCGGCACCA
rnacentral:tRNA from 1 species